CAAGUAUUAACCCAAUAGCAUUACUUUGACAUAGAAAUGGAAACAAUCAUGUGGAAAUCUUAUAUUUCAUUGAGAACAUGAAUACACAUGACAAUGUGAACUAUCAACCUCAAGAACAAGCCCUCGCAUUAUCCUGCUAAUAUUCAUCAGAAAAAUUCAAAAUCUAAAUAGGGACCUGAUGAUCGAUUUGAGUCUGUAGCUCCCUUGUCAUUUGGAGCCAAGGAUGACUUUAAUGUGUGAUUCAAAAAGGAAAGAUCAACAGGCUUUGGAAUAUCAGGAGGAUGAGUACUGCGAAUGAGUGCCCAAUUAACACUUUCAAAAAAAGGGUGUUGUUUGAUCUCUGUUGCACCUCUUUUGAACCCCAAUCUCUUUUGCGGGUCCUUUACAAGCAGACCACGGAUUAAAUCCUUAGCAGCAUAACUCACAGAGGAUCCCUCAGGAAAUUUUAGGGGCUGACCUACCACAUUGAAUAGCGUCUCUCUGUUUCCAGUCCCUUUGAAUGGCGUCCUACCAAGUAGUAACUCAUACAAGAAGAUACCAAAUGUCCACCAAUCAACAGCACUCCCAUGCCCAUCCCCUCUUAUUAUCUCAGGAGCUAAAUACUCAUGGGUACCUACGAAUGACAUUGAGCGGGCAGUAGUUGGUUCUGCAAUAAGUACAGGAAGUGAAUCUGAACUCGCCAAAUUUGGCCUUUCACUUUUCACUUUUGUUGUUUUGAAGUUGAAGAAAUGAGGUUUAAAGCAAGAUGGUUGCAAGCAUGAAGGCUCUACACAAACAGGUAAUUUGCAGGCUGGUUCAAUGCAUGAUGGCUGGAUACAGUAUGAAGAGAUCUUACAAGAUGGCUCGGUACUAGAUUGAACAAGAGUAGGACUCACAUAGCAUCUUAAUGACAAAUCAAAAUCUGAAAGCAUAAUAUGCCCAUCCUCCCUAACCAAUACAUUUUCAGGCUUCAAGUCUCUAUACACAACACCCAUCAUGUGUAAAUAUUCGAGAGCAAGAAGCACUUCUGAAGCAUAAAACCUGAAAAAGCAGAGAGAAUUAUUGGAAAACAAUAAUUCUAACUUUGUCCAUCAAACUACUAGCUAAAAAUAGCAGGAAAAAACAAAAUGAAUGAAGCAUGAUGGAUUAACAUGAAUUGAGUAGAUAAUAAAUUACAACUGUUCAAUAUCCAUGACAGUAAAUUACUCUAGCAAGAAGUUAUCUGCAAGCAUUAAUAUGAUUGUUCGAGAGAAACCCAAGAUUUAUUAUUACUUUGCUGAUAUUUAAGGAGCUACAUUUGAAUGCUCCAGCAGGGCAUUUACGCAGAUGCCUCUCUGUAUAAUCUAUACCAAUGACUGCAAAUAUUAUAAAUAAAUUUGUAAGUUGAUAGGCUUAUCUUGUACCAACAGACCAGGGCCAGUCAUUAUGAUCUAGUACAAUAUCGAACUAAUUUUCCAUACAUUAGCUCUACCCUCUACCUAUCUUCUCAUACUUCAGUAAUUCACAUCUGCCAGCCACAGACUAGCAACGAAAUGCAUUAGUCAAAGAAGCCAUAUGAUUUCUUUCUAUUAUUAAUUACCACCUUUCUUUUAAUCUCCUUCAAUCAGCAUAUUACAUUAAUAGUCAAGAAACCAUUAAAACUAAAAUGAUACAUAACUAAUCUCAUAAUUAGCACUAACCUUGCAGCCUGUUCUGUGAAAUGCUUGCCUGGUUGUCGUUGCCUCAGCGUGUGAAGAUCCCCACCGCUGCAAAACUCCAUCAACAAGCAAGAAAACUUAUCAGUCUCAAAAUGGGAAUAGAGGGUUGGCAAAAAUGGAUGAUCUAACAAACCCAUAAUCUCUCUCUCAGUUUGAGCUCUCAACAGCUUCUUUCUCCCCUCUAACAUCCCUUUAUCCAUCACCUUCAUUGCAAACAAACAGCCCAUCCCUCUCAACUCAGCCAGAUACACACUCCCUAUAUCUCCACACCCAAGUUUCUUCAAUAACCUAAAAUGACCUAAGCCCAACCCCAAAAUCCCAUCUUUAGCUUUAACAUGCUGUAUUGCAUCCCAUCUAAUGUCAUUUCUCUUGUGGGGUUUUGAAGGGCAAAAGGUCCUAGAACUAGCCUCAUUUGGAUCCAAACACAGACCACUCUUUUCACACUCUUUAGCUUCACUAGCAUCAUUACUCACACUGCUUAUAUUGCUGCUAAUACUAUCAGACCCAGAAAUGGUGCUACUGCACAAGCUGAUACUGACACUUUUAGUGAAACUAAGAUCUUGCAAGCUGCUGGUGAAAGAUUCAAUGUCGCUAUUCUCAAUCUUUUGUGGUUGUUUGCUCAUGGUUGAGGGAAUUUGGAGAAAUUGUUUGAUGAAAGGUAUGAGAGAAGGGGUUGGUUGGUUAAAAAUGGAAGUGAUAGUCAAAUUGGAGCUAGACUGCUGGGGGAGUGACCGAGGUGGUCAAAGAGAGCGAGAGUAAGACGCGGGCAUAACGAAGAGAGGGUUAAAACGGCAUUCAAAUUUGAAAAUUAGAUGAGAGACCCAAUGAGAGUAAAUUGGGGUUUGAGUCUCUCUCACUCUCUCUCUUCUUCUUGUUUUGUCCGUAAGCUGUAAUAUUUCUUGGUUAUAGCAUAAGGAAGGGAGAGAGAGAGAGAGAGAG
rnacentral:misc_RNA from 1 species